rnacentral:rRNA from 1 species
AGCGAACGCUGGCGGCAGGCCUAACACAUGCAAGUCGAACGAAGUCUUCGGACUUAGUGGCGGACGGGUGAGUAACACGUGGGAACGUACCUUUUGGUUCGGAACAACUCAGGGAAACUUGAGCUAAUACCGGAUGAGCCCUUAGGGGGAAAGAUUUAUCGCCGAAAAGCGGCCCGCGUUAGAUUAGCUAGUUGGUGAGGUAAAGGCUCACCAAGGCUACGAGCUAUAGCUGGUCUGAGAGGAUGAUCAGCCACACUGGGACUGAGACACGGCCCAGACUCCUACGGGAGGCAGCAGUGGGGAAUCUUGCGCAAUGGGCGAAAGCCUGACGCAGCCAUGCCGCGUGAAUGAUGAAGGUCUUAGGAUUGUAAAAUUCUUUUACCAGGGACGAUAAUGACGGUACCUGGAGAAAAAGCCCCGGCUAACUUCGUGCCAGCAGCCGCAGUAAAAC